AGUCGACGCUGAGCUUGGUGCUUGCACUGGGUGGAUGAGUGGCGAACGGGUGAGUAAUACGUGAGUAACCUGCCCUUGACUCUGGGAUAAGCCUGGGAAACUGGGUCUAAUACUGGAUACGACAUGUCACCGCAUGGUGGUGUGUGGAAAGGGUUUUACUGGUUUUGGAUGGGCUCACGGCCUAUCAGCUUGUUGGUGGGGUAAUGGCUCACCAAGGCGACGACGGGUAGCCGGCCUGAGAGGGUGACCGGCCACACUGGGACUGAGACACGGCCCAGACUCCUACGGGAGGCAGCAGUGGGGAAUAUUGCACAAUGGGCGAAAGCCUGAUGCAGCGACGCCGCGUGAGGGAUGACGGCCUUCGGGUUGUAAACCUCUUUCAGCACGGAAGAAGCGAAAGUGACGGUACGUGCAGAAGAAGCGCCGGCUAACUACGUGCCAGCAGCCGCGGUAAUACGUAGGGCGCAAGCGUUGUCCGGAAUUAUUGGGCGUAAAGAGCUCGUAGGCGGUUUGUCGCGUCUGCUGUGAAAGCCCGGGGCUUAACCCCGGGUGUGCAGUGGGUACGGGCAGACUUGAGUGCAGUAGGGGAGACUGGAAUUCCUGGUGUAGCGGUGAAAUGCGCAGAUAUCAGGAGGAACACCGAUGGCGAAAGGCAGGUCUCUGGGCUGUUACUGACGCUGAGGAGCGAAAGCAUGGGGAGCGAACAGGAUUAGAUACCCUGGUAGUCCAUGCCGUAAACGUUGGGCACUA
rnacentral:rRNA from 1 species